GCCGAGGUGGCGAAAUAGGCAGACGCAAGGGACUUAAAAUCCCUCGGAAGAAAUUCCGUAUCGGUUCAAGUCCGAUCCCCGGCACCA
rnacentral:tRNA from 1 species